rnacentral:rRNA from 1 species
UACGUAGGGUGCAAGCGUUGUCCGGAAUUAUUGGGCGUAAAGAGCUCGUAGGCGGUUUGUCGCGUCUGCUGUGAAAACUCGGGGCUCAACCCCGGGCCUGCAGUGGGUACGGGCAGACUAGAGUGCGGUAGGGGAGACUGGAAUUCCUGGUGUAGCGGUGAAAUGCGCAGAUAUCAGGAGGAACACCGGUGGCGAAGGCGGGUCUCUGGGCCGAUACUGACGCUGAGGAGCGAAAGCGUGGGGAGCGAACAGG